AAACCAACAGGGAUUGCCUCAGUAACGGCGAGCGAAGCGGCAAGAGCUCAAAUUUGAAAGCUAGCGUCAUUUUGGCGUUCGCGUUGUAAUUUGAAGAUGGCAACUUUGGAAACGGCCCUUGCAUAUGUUCCUUGGAACAGGACAUCAUAGAGGGUGAGAAUCCCGUACAUGGUGGGGAGUCCGUUUCUAUGUAAAGUGCUAUCCAAGAGUCGAGUUGUUUGGGAAUGCAGCUCUAAGUGGGUGGUAAAUUCCAUCUAAGGCUAAAUAUAGGCGAGAGACCGAUAGCGAACAAGUACAGUGAUGGAAAGAUGAAAAGAACUUUGAAAAGAGAGUGAAAAAGUACGUGAAAUUGUUGAAAGGGAAGGGCUUGAAAUCAGACUUGGCUUGUAGUGAUCAACUGUCUUUCGGGACUGUGCACUCGCUACUUGCUAGGCCAACAUCAGCUCUGGCGGUGAGAUAAUAGUAGUGGAAUGUGACUUUGCUUCGGUAAAGUGUUAUAGCCACAUGCUGAUGUCGCCAGCCGGGGCUGAGGACCGCGCUUUUAGCUAGGAUGUUGGCGUAAUGAUUUUAAGCCAC
rnacentral:rRNA from 1 species